rnacentral:rRNA from 1 species
AUUGAACGCUGGCGGCAGGCCUAACACAUGCAAGUCGAGCGAGCGGCGGACGGGUGAGUAAUGCCUGGGAAUUGCCCUGUCGAGGGGGAUAACAGUUGGAAACGACUGCUAAUACCUCAUACGAUUGGAUGGCCUAGGUGGGAUUGGCUAGUUGGUGAGGUAAUGGCCCAACAAGGCGACGAUCCCUAGCUGGUCUGAGAGGAUGAGAGGGCACACGGGAACGUAGACACGGUCCAGACUCCGACGGGAGGCAGCAGUGGGGAAGAUUGCGCAAUGGGGUAAACCCUGAUGCAGCCAUGCCGCGUGUGUGAAGAAGGGCUUCGGGUUGUAAAGCUCUAACAGCGAGGAGGCGUUACUCGCAGAAGAAGCACCGGCUAACUCCGUGCCAGCCGCCGCGGUAAUUC